rnacentral:lncRNA from 1 species
AUACAUGGAUGACAUUAAGCUGUACACCUCAAAAAAAACAAUUACAGCAGCUGUUACAAAUCAUGCACACAUUUUCAAAAAACAUCCACAUGGAGUUUGGCCUAGACAAAUGCAAAACAUUCCACAUAGAAAAGGGAGUCCUAAAGAAAGGAGACCCCACUCUUGAAAAUGAAAACAUAUCGAAUCCAUGGAAGAGGGUGAAGUGUAUAUAUAUUUAGGAUUCCACCAGGCCAGACUCACAGAACAGAAAAAAACUAGACAAACACUGUCAAAACUGUACACAAACAGAUUAAAUAACAUUC